GGAUGGAAACUCAGAUGACUUGCCAGAGUUCAGAAAGCAGAAUGGUGAUACGUCCUCCCAGCAUCCCAUCCUAUGCAAACCUGUUCUUCCUUCCAGACAGGCUGGAUGAAUGUCACCCGAAGCAGUGCUCUGAGAGACUACAGUCAUGAUUGCCAAUAGCCAACAUCCAGACUAAAAAUAAAAACCCUCAGCAUGGGACUGAGCGACAAGCAAUCCAUCCUCUGGCAAAAAUCACCCAUCACCUCACCCCUCCAGCCCUGUCUUCUUCAUGCUGAAAGAUGCAAUAUCUAACAGCAUCAUCAAGAGAUCAAGGUGGCUCAUUGAAAGCACCAGGCAAGCUGAUCUCUCCAUUUUGUGAAUGUCUGUGUUUAACAGCCAUCAGAUUUUGGCUGGUCAGUACACACAGUGGAGGGAAAGAGAAGGCUUGUCAGUGGAAUAGUUAUUUGGCCCUGGGAGAAUUCUGGGGAGCUGUUACAAAAUCCCUAUUUUUGGCCCCAGAAAUAACACAUCAUCUUUUUCUUUUCCCCUGUGCUUUUAACAGUCACCUUUCACAGAGGUGGGUUAGUCUGAAAGGAUCCCACCUGCAGAAAGGAAGGAAACCUAAGGGAAACAUAUUCUGGGAGAGCCACAGUCCCUGCCUUGCUUCCUCCUGGCUGUCACAGGGAUUGAGAUCUCAGGGUUUGGCCUAGCCUAUGAAUUUUUGCAUAUUACACCUGAGAUGGGCUGAAAUAUUUAUUUCCCCUUCUUUUUCAUUAGUAUUUAACAUGCAAGGAGAAUCUGUCUACUUGCCAGGCUGACCUUGCUCAGAAUGGGGUCUAGGGACCAGUGCUUUCCAUGCCACCAGUAGCGCAUACACUUGGGCUAAGCAGAAGUACUUCUGGCAGCUGAUCCACCAGUGUUUGUUAGGGCUGAUCCUGGCUCUGCAACAAAAGCUUUCCUGAGUUUUACAUGUGGUAACCUCACAAGAUGAAGACACUAAAAAAUAAUGUGGCACUCUACCCUUGUGACAAUACAUAAAAGGCCACAUCUUUGAGCAGCAGUGGUGCUAUGGUUUAUUUACGCUCAUUUACCCCAUGCCUGGGAGACACGAAUUCUCAAUCACUAUUGCCACACAGUCUUAAGUAUGAAGUGCUUCAUGUGGAUGAUCAUAAUUGUUUCAAACCAGACUCUAAACACCCAGUUGAGAAAGGACAGUGCUGCGUUUGAAAUGAAAACGUGGCUCAAGAGGGAAGGAGAAUGAUUCUAGCUCGUGUUUUCCAUCUUCACAAGACUCCCAGCUCUCCCUCCCCGUCUGCACAGGCAUUUUCCUCUCGUCUUGCUCCCUGGGGGAACCACAAAUCCUGGUGCAUUCUCAUUUAACUGAAAGGAUCCCCAGGUAAAACCACAGCACUUGGGCUUAUUCAGUAACUUGUUUGGCCCACUGGUUUUUAAGUGGGUACGGAGCUAUAAAUGCGUUGCUUCAGCAGAGGACUUAAAAUGCCAAGAACAAGAUGUUGAUGUUAUAUUAUCAGAUUCAGGACUAGAAAGAAUGGAGUCUAGACAUUCCCUUAUUAAAGAAAUAAGAUUUUUUUUUUUUUGCUUAGCAUUUCAUCUCUGUGCUGUGAAGUGAGAAAUACAACCAAUAAGUGUCUAAUAUCUCAAGCCAAGACUCAGCUCCACCUUUGGCCUUCUGCUCCCUCGGGUGUUUUAUAAGGGCCCAUGCAUUUGAUGACAUGCAUGCUGGAAUAAAAUGCUUAAGAUAACA